rnacentral:lncRNA from 1 species
UAUUUUUCUUCAUAUUUUGUCAAAAAUCCAUCACCUCCAACAUUUAAUCCAUCUAAUGUAACAUCCAUAAAUUUAUGCCCUAUCUUCCUUGGAUCUCUUAGAUUUGGUUGUGUCGAUGCUCCACUUAUCAUUUCUUCACAAUCACAUGGUAGUAGCAAAGUCACUAGUUUGACCUUCUUUGCUACUGAUUUAUACUUAGUUUCAACAUAUAUC